rnacentral:lncRNA from 1 species
UACGUGAGAUUGGCUAUGUCGAAUUAGAUCUACCAGAACCUCCUGAGAAUGCAUCCCGUCCUCCUCCACAGCCAGUUGAUCCUUACACAAGGUAUGGGCCAAAAGCAGAGAUAACCCACAUUUUCAGAGCACCAGAAAAGCGUCCUCCUGAGGAGCUGUCUCUUGCUUUCUUGGUUCUGACUAUUUUGCCACUUUUUGGAUUCAUAAUUGGGGUGAGUCAUGUGUAACUGUUUGUUUCUGUAUUUUUAUUGAACCAAAAUCUUUCUGAAUUCCAAUUCUUUUUCUGGCCGUAGCUGAUAUAUGUAACAUCCUUUGAUAUUUUACAGCUAUUACGAUUAGGGGUGAACCUGAAGAACUUCCCUACUUCAGCUGUACCUGCCACAUUUGCUGUCAUUUUCCAUUUAGGAAUUGC